GGAAGUCUUUGUGCCCUGUGUGACUAUGUCCUUUGUGACAUUUCCACACAUGGGACCUUCACACUCAUCGCUUUGAUUCCAACAGAGGAGUUGUGUUCAGGAGCAACUCUGCGCUUUGUAGAGAUGUUAAGAUUCUUGAGAACCUUCUCUGAAACUUCCAUUUGCAUCCAUCUACCCUGAGUGCAUUGAUUGAUAUCCUGAGUACAAUCUGAAUCUUGGUCAGGCUCUAAAAAUGCGUAUCUUUGGCUGUCAAACAAGAGAAUUUCCAGAGACAUGUUCUGGAGCCAAAGAAGAGGAAUGUGGGGGAAUGUGAGAUCUGCUCUGCUCUGCGAGGCAAACAGCAGGAUGUCGGGAAAGUCUGAUAUCUCUGAAUGUAUUUUCUGUACAUUUGUCCUCUCUUCAAAUCAAUGUUACUUUUAUUUCUUGGAUGAAGAUCUAUAAUCAAGUUGCCACUGAUGAGCUGUGAGAAUUUUGACUUCAGCUUUGUAACAAAUGAAUCUGAAAGUAGAAAAGCCAGACGGAAAAACAAUCUCCAAUCUGAAAAGUAAAAAGUAAAAUUUACUUUCAGAAAAAUAUUGCCUAUUACUAGGAGAAAAAUUAAAAUUAUGUAAAAAUGAAACCUCAGGCACUCAAGUUUUGCUGAGAGUGUUUCCUCUUGCUUUUUGUAACUUUACUCUGGGAUUGAGCAGUGUCGGCAUAUUUGCCACACAAUAGAUUUCCUGUAGUAAGAGGAAAGAGUCAUAGGUUGAGUUUAUCUGAAGGAAGGCAAGGCCCUCUGAUGAUUAAUACAAAAUGUAAAGUGGUCAGAUUUUUCUGGAAAGUCAGCAAUCCAUUUAACACAGGAAGAUUCCCCCUACCUGUCAGGGCGCCUGGCAGUAACUGAGCUUCUCGCGCCCUGAUUCCUUCCAGGUCCCUGGAAGGUGGGCUGUGUUGGGAGGCUAGGUGAGUAUGAGCACUCAGGGGAGGCAGGGCUCCAAGCCAAGGCUGAAAAGCAAAGCCUGGGGCUCUCAGGGCUGACGUGGGUUUCUGCAGAAAUUGGGGAAGCCUUUUAGAAUUGAUAUCUUUGCCUAGGAGGCCAUAGAACUGCCAAUGAGAACGUAUCAAGCUGAUCUACCACAGUUUCACAGGAAACUGUGAGCAGGAAAGGAUGGGAAAUGCACAAGAAAGGAAAAAAAGAAGAGAAAGAAAGCAGAGAUAAAUUCAAGCUCCAAGUAUGGAGCAGAAACACAGACAGAUUAUUUUGAAGCAUAAAACUACUAUGAGCUCUCAGAAACUCAGAAUUAUGUCAGAGAGAUCUGAUCUGGAUAAAAACUUAAACAAUACAUUCAUUUUAAAAGUAAAUAUAAACUUAUUUUAAGGCCUAUUCCUUAACAGUUAAGAAGUUGAGAAAACAAGUCAAAAUCCUCCUGGGAUUGCUUAAAUGCCUAAAGGGGACAAAACUGUGAUGGGGUCAAUUAAUUCUUCUUAUCUCAAUAUAUGCUGCCAAAAUUACUUUAAGUGCUUGAAAACUGUUUCCUUCAGAAGGCUAAACAUGAUUUUAGCAUUUUUUUUCUGCAAAUCUUUUUUUAGAAAUAUAUUUUAAAACAAUAGCAUCUUUUUAUUUUUUUUAUGGUUUAUUCUUUUUUUGCCUUUAAAAUUUUUAUUUUACUUGAAGUAUAAUCAGUUUACAAUGUUGUGUCAAUUUCCAGUGUAUUGCAAUAUGUUUCAGUCAUACAUAUACAUACAUAUAUUCCUUUUCAUAUUAUUUUUCAUUACAGGAUACAAGCUAUUGCUACUGAGUAUAGUUCCCUGUGCUAUACUGUAUAAAAUUGUUUUGUUCUUAUUUUUCAAAAUAUUGAAGAUUUUUGACUACAUCUUGGCAGAUGAGAAUUCUACCACUGAACAACCGAUGCACCUUUUUGACUACAUCUUGAAAUUACCCCAUACUCUUUCUUUUUAGCAAGAUGCAAAAGAGUGUGGUCUUGUUCCUUGGGGAGUACAUAUAGCAAUAAGAACAAUUAUUGUGGAAUAAUAACAAUGGUUCUCCCUCUCUCUCUUUUUUUGUUUUUUGUAUUUAAGAUGUAGCAGGCAUGUACUGAUCUCUUUUUUUGCAUAUGCUUUUUGAGAUUACAUUCUUUAAAACUGGUAGUCUCCACCCACUACAAAAUUAAAAAAAAAAUUGAAAGACAUAGAGUAAGAUGUAUAAGAAGUAAGUCUUCCUUCCCUACUCUUUCCCCUAGAGUCAAGCAAGCUCACCAGUCUCUUCUGUUUGCCUUCCAAGAUAUGCUGAGCAUCUAAAUAUAUAUUACUUCAUUUAAUCCUCACUACAACCCUAUGUGGUGACUACUAUUUUCAUCUUUAUUAAUAGAUGAGGAAACUGAAGCACAGAACGUACUUGCCCCGAAUCACAAGAAAACAGGAGAACCAGGAUCAGAACUCAUAUCAGUUUCAUCACCGCUGUCCUUUCUUCCCAUUCUCUUCCGUCCAGAUGGCCUCAGAGCCUGGACUCUACUCUCUCUUUCCCCCACCUGCUUGUCUAAAUCCUACCCACCCUUUACGGUCCUGCUCAGAAUAAGAAUAAUAGCAUUUAUUGAACGCUUUCUGUAUGCCAGGCACUUACACACAAGAUCUUACUUAAUCCUCAUGGAGCCCCACGAGGCAUAUGCUAUUAUUAUCCACAUUCGACAGAAGUGAAACUGAGACUUAGAAAGUCACACAGCUAGUAAGUGGCAGAGGCCAGACUCAGCCACGAUGGUCUGAUUAAGGCCCUUGCCUCCCAGCCCAGACCCACCCACUCCCACAAGGCCCUCCCUGACUCCCUCGCUGGCAGUGAUUCCACUCCUCUCAGGAAAGCCCUAACACUUCUCAUCACACACUGAGAUGGCUGCUUGCAAAUUGUCCUGUAUUAUUCUCUGACAAUGCAGCCUUCUAGAUUCUUCUCUUUCAAUUUUUCUAUCUGCUCCUGGAGAGCAAAGGCUAUUUUUAAUGCUCGGUCAUAAUACUGAGCAAGUGCCUGGUGAGCAGUAAGUAUGCAACACACAAUUGGUUUAUCUAUCAUAAGAAAAAAAUUUAGCUCCACUCGAGCAAUUGUAAAAAUCCUAAUGAGAUCUUACAAAAUAGAACAGGAAAUAAACUGAUGAGAAGCGAA